rnacentral:rRNA from 1 species
UACGAAGGGGGCUAGCGUGCUCGGAAUCACUGGGCGUAAAGGGUGCGUAGGCGGGUCUUUAAGUCAGGGGUGAAAUCCUGGAGCUCAACUCCAGAACUGCCUUUGAUACUGAAGAUCUUGAGUUCGGGAGAGGUGAGUGGAACUGCGAGUGUAGAGGUGAAAUUCGUAGAUAUUCGCAAGAACACCAGUGGCGAAGGCGGCUCACUGGCCCGAUACUGACGCUGAGGCACGAAAGCGUGGGGAGCAAACAGG